rnacentral:rRNA from 1 species
UCUAGAGAUAGAGCUUUCCCUUCGGGGACAAAGUGACAGGUGGUGCAUGGUUGUCGUCAGCUCGUGUCGUGAGAUGUUGGGUUAAGUCCCGCAACGAGCGCAACCCUUAUUACUAGUUGCCAGCAUUAAGUUGGGCACUCUAGUGAGACUGCCGGUGACAAACCGGAGGAAGGUGGGGACGACGUCAAAUCAUCAUGCCCCUUAUGACCUGGGCUACACACGUGCUACAAUGGAUGGUACAACGAGUUGCGAGAC